rnacentral:rRNA from 1 species
UGUCAUCAAUGUACGUCACGACGUAAAAAUCCGGUGCCCAAAAUUCAAAUUCUCUUUCCCAAUUAAUGAUCGUCGACAACGGAGCGCUGAUUAGAAAUGGACCUUUGCAGUGACCUUCUUUAUACAACGAGUACAAGAAUACGAUAGUUUGAAUCGUCUUGCCCAGACCCAUUUCAUCGGCCAAAAUUGCAUCGACACUGGUCGCCCAAGAAUAACGCAAAAAGUUCAAGCCGGCCAGUUGAUAAUCGUGCAAAUUUCCACCGCAUUCUGUUAUAUAAUCGGGCUGUUUCUCUAUUUUCUUCUUCAAAUCGGUCGACGGUUGAGGAGGGGCAGUCAGUCGUCGUUUCUUCUUCUCCGGAGCACCGCUGGUUCCAGCCUGGGCAGCCGCAAUGUUCGAUGCGGCCACGGCCAUAGUUUUCAAACGUUUCACCACCUGUUUCGGAGGCGCUUCGUUUAUCAUUCUUUCUCGAUGAUCCCAAUAAUAUUGAAUCGCGUCGUAAAAGUUUGGAAUUUCAAACUCGUCCGACUCCCAGGAUGCUUGUUCAUAACUCAGCUCUCGCCAUUUGAUCAAAUAAUCCACUCCACCAUGUCGGUGAACUUUGUGAUUAAUGACACGCUGAAUUUGAAGCCAGAGGAAACUCUGGUGGAAGUUCGUAGCGGUGUUGACGUGCAAAUCACUCGUCUGACUUGAGUGUAGGGGCGAAAGACUAAUCGAACCAUCUAGUUGCUGGUUCCUUCCGAAGUUUCCCUCAGGAUAGCUGGCAUUUGUUUGUAACAAUUUUAUCCGGUAGAGCGAAUGAUUAGAGGUGUUGGGAACGCAAUGUUCUCAGCCUAUUCUCAAACUUCGAAUGGGUAAGCAAGGCGUUUUGCUUUGAUUUUACGAUGAAAUCGCCCAAUUAGAAUGUAUAAAUGCCUAGUGGGCCAAUUUUGGUAAGCAGAACUGGCGAUGUGGAAUGAACCAAAAGUCAGGUUAAGGUGCCAGACAUUGGCGCUCAUGAAAUACCAGAAAAGGUGUUGGUCGAUAUAGACAGCAGGACGGUGGCCAUGGAAGUUGGAAUCCGCCAAGGAGUGUGUAACAACUCACCUGCCGAAUCGACUAGCCCUGAAAAUGGAUAGCGUUUGAGCGCCAGGCCCAUACCUGACCGUCUCAAUUACGCACUUUUUUUUCGGAAAAGGUGUAAUGAACGUUGAGACGGGUAGGAAGGUCGCGACAGUGUUGCUUUGAAGAGUUUUGAGCGUGAGCUCGCUCGGAGCCGCUGUUGGUGCAGAUCUUGGUGGUAGUAGCAAAUAUUCAAGUGAGAACCUUGAAGGCUGAAGUGGAGCAAGGUUCCAUGUGAACAGCAGUUGGACAUGGGUCAGUCGAUCCUAAGAAAACGGCGAAAGCUUGUUCGAAUUUGCGACAUGAAUUGUAAGACUGUGUGAAUUGUGUGUGUGUGCAGUUGUCGUAUGUUUUCGAAAGGGAAUCCGGUUGAUAUUCCGGAACCGAGUAACGGAGACAAAGAGUAGCGCUUUAAUCUCUCUGUGGGGUUGGCGUUCAACUCAAUCGCGCGGUAACGCAAGCGAACUCGGAAAAUGACCGUCGUGAGUUUCGAAAAGAGUUUUCUUUUCUUUUUAAGGGACGCAUUCCCUGGAACCGGGUUGUCCGGAGAUAGGGAUUCUGGUAUCCAUAAAACGCCGACUUUUUCACGGUGUUCGGAGCGCUCUCGUCGGUACGUGAAAAUCCGAGCGACGCCUGGUAAAUCUCGUACUUGGUCGUACUGAUAUCCGCAGCAGGUCUCCAAGGUGAAUAGCCUCUGGCCGAUAGAAUAAUGUAGGUAAGGGAAGUCGGCAAAACGGAUCCGUAACUUCGGAACAAGGAUUGGCUCUAAGGGCUGGGCCGAUCGGGCUGAGGUUUCAAGCGUGCAGUGUAUGCUUGGCUGAGUUGUGUUGAGGACUUGUUCACUUGCCGCCGUUUGUUCGGUUGGUCUAGUGUAUUCGAGUCUGAAGCAGAGCUGGCCGACAGACCGGCACGUGCAGAACCUGAGCUGCGCGGCUGUCCGUUUACGUGUACAGACCGUUUCGGUCGGCAUUCAACAGCCAACUUAGAACUGGCACGGACACAAGGAAUCUGACUGUAUAAUUAAAACAAAGCAUUGCGAUGGCCGAUGAUCGGUGAUGACGCAAUGUGAUUUCUGCCCAGUGCUCUGAAUGUCAAAGUGAAGAAAUUCAAUCAAGCGCGGGUAAACGGCGGGAGUAACUAUGACUCUCUUAAGGUAGCCAAAUGCCUCGUCAUCUAAUUAGUGACGCGUAUGAAUGGAUCAACAAGAUUCCUUCUGUCCCUAUCUACUAUCUAGCGAAACCACAGCCAAGGGAACGGGCUUGGCAAAAUCAGCGGGGAAAGAAGACCCUGUUGAGCUUGACUCUAGUCUGACUCUGUGAAGAGACAUGAAAGGUGUAGCAUAGGUGGGAGAUUGUCAAAUUGCCAUCGUUCGCGCGGUGGUCCGGUGAUCGCCAAUGAAAUACCACUACUUUGAUCGUUUCUUUACUUAUUCGGUAAAGCGAAAAAAUUGUGGCCAAUUUGGCGGUUUAUGUCGCUGUUGGUCAUUGUUUUCAUGUUAGAUUGAAGCUUUGUUUACAGCCGUCGCUUUGUGUCGCCAUUUGACGCAUUGUUGUACUGGGUUAUCCCGGUGUGUGGUGUAGUCAGUAUGGAUGAUCGGCGAUAGGUUUGAAGUGAUUCGCUCCGGAAACAGUGUCAGACGGGGAGUUUGACUGGGGCGGUACAUCUGUUAAACGAUAACGCAGGUGUCCUAAGGUAAGCUCAGCGAGGACAGAAACCUCGCUUAGAGUAAACGGGCACAAGCUUACUUGAUUUUGAUUUCCAGUACGAAUAGAAACCGCGAAAGCGUGGCCUAUCGAUCCUUUUGAUUGUGUAGAUUUCAUGCAAGAGGUGUCAGAAAAGUUACCACAGGGAUAACUGGCUUGUGGCAGCCAAGCGUCCAUAGCGACGUUGCUUUUUGAUCCUUCGAUGUCGGCUCUUCCUAUCAUUGCGAAGCAGAAUUCGCCAAGCGUUGGAUUGUUCACCCACCAAUAGGGAACGUGAGCUGGGUUUAGACCGUCGUGAGACAGGUUAGUUUUACCCUACUGAUGACAAGUCGUUGCGAUAGUAAUCCUGCUCAGUACGAGAGGAACCGCGGGAUCAGACAUUUGGUUCAUGCGCUCGGCUGAAAGGCCGGUGGCGCGAAGCUAGCAUCUGCAAGAUUAUGACUGAACGCCUCUAAGUCAGAAUCUUUUCUAGUCAUUGGCAACGAUAAGUUGCGUCCAGACUCGAUGCGAGGAAACGAUUAGGCUUUGCUAUACGGCGAAGCCAUUAUCAGACCACGGUAGCAGGCAGUAUGGGAUUGUUACGAAAAAGCAAUUUUUUGAAGUCAGUUGAAUUCAAUCAAACUGCUAACAAUUCCACUGCGAAUGACUCCAUUCGAAUCAAU